GACAUGCAGAGAACGUUUCCAGAGAUGGAUUGGUGCCUUCGGGAACUCUGACACAGGUGCUGCAUGGCUGUCGUCAGCUCGUGUCGUGAGAUGUUGGGUUAAGUCCCGUAACGAGCGCAACCCUUGUCCUUAGUUACCAGCACGUUAUGGUGGGCACUCUAAGGAGACUGCCGGUGACAAACCGGAGGAAGGUGGGGAUGGCGUCAAGUCAUCAUGGCCCUUACGGCCUGGGCUACACACGUGCUACAAUGGUCGGUACAAAGGGUUGCCAAGCCGCGAGGUGGAGCUAAUCCCAUAAAACCGAUCGUAGUCCGGAUCGCAGUCUGCAACUCGACUGCGUGAAGUCGGAAUCGCUAGUAAUCGUGAAUCAGAAUGUCACGGUGAAUACGUUCCCGGGCCUU
rnacentral:rRNA from 1 species